rnacentral:rRNA from 1 species
UACGGGGGGAGCAAGCGUUGUUCGGAUUUACUGGGCGUAAAGGGCGUGUAGGCGGCCACCGCAAGUCGGUUGUGAAAUCUCCGGGCUUAACCCGGAAAGGUCAACCGAUACUGCGGGGCUAGAGUGCAGAAGGGGCAACUGGAAUUCUCGGUGUAGCGGUGAAAUGCGUAGAUAUCGAGAGGAACACCUGCGGCGAAGGCGGGUUGCUGAGCCGACACUGACGCUGAUGCGCGAAAGCCAGGGGAGCGAACGGG